AUUGAACGCUGGCGGCAUGCCUUACACAUGCAAGUCGAACGGCAGCACGGGAGCAAUCCUGGUGGCGAGUGGCGAACGGGUGAGUAAUAUAUCGGAACGUGCCCAGUCGUGGGGAUAACGUAGCGAAAGCUACGCUAAUACCGCAUACGAUCUAUGGAUGAAAGCGGGGGAUCGCAAGACCUCGCGCGAUUGGAGCGGCCGAUAUCAGAUUAGGUAGUUGGUGAGGUAAAGGCUCACCAAGCCGACGAUCUGUAGCUGGUCUGAGAGGACGACCAGCCACACUGGGACUGAGACACGGCCCAGACUCCUACGGGAGGCAGCAGUGGGGAAUUUUGGACAAUGGGCGCAAGCCUGAUCCAGCAAUGCCGCGUGCAGGAUGAAGGCCUUCGGGUUGUAAACUGCUUUGUACGGAACGAAACGGUGAGCUCUAAUACAGUUGUCUAAUGACGGUACCGUAAGAAUAAGCACCGGCUAACUACGUCG
rnacentral:rRNA from 1 species